rnacentral:rRNA from 1 species
AUUGAACGCUGGCGGCAGGCCUAACACAUGCAAGUCGAGCGGAUGAAGGGAGCUUGCUCCUGGAUUCAGCGGCGGACGGGUGAGUAAUGCCUAGGAAUCUGCCUGGUAGUGGGGGAUAACGUCCGGAAACGGGCGCUAAUACCGCAUACGUCCUGAGGGAGAAAGUGGGGGAUCUUCGGACCUCACGCUAUCAGAUGAGCCUAGGUCGGAUUAGCUAGUUGGUGGGGUAAAGGCCUACCAAGGCGACGAUCCGUAACUGGUCUGAGAGGAUGAUCAGUCACACUGGAACUGAGACACGGUCCAGACUCCUACGGGAGGCAGCAGUGGGGAAUAUUGGACAAUGGGCGAAAGCCUGAUCCAGCCAUGCCGCGUGUGUGAAGAAGGUCUUCGGAUUGUAAAGCACUUUAAGUUGGGAGGAAGGGCAGUAAGUUAAUACCUUGCUGUUUUGACGUUACCAACAGAAUAAGCACCGACUAACUGCGU